UCCUACAGGUAAUAUGCCAGUCCUCCUAU
rnacentral:piRNA from 1 species